rnacentral:rRNA from 1 species
UACAGAGGGGGCAAGCGUUGUUCGGAAUUACUGGGCGUAAAGGGCGCGUAGGCGGCCUUCUAAGUCGAACGUGAAAUCCCCGGGCUCAACCCGGGAACUGCGUCCGAUACUGGAAGGCUUGAAUCCGGGAGAGGGAUGCGGAAUUCCAGGCGUAGCGGUGAAAUGCGUAGAUAUCUGGAGGAACACCGGUGGCGAAGGCGGCAUCCUGGACCGGCAUUGACGCUGAGGCGCGAAAGCCAGGGGAGCAAACGGG